rnacentral:misc_RNA from 1 species
GAUGAAGAACGUAGCGAAAUGCGAUAAGUAAUGUGAAUUGCAGAAUUCAGUGAAUCAUCGAAUCUUUGAACGCACAUUGCGCCAGCCAGCAUUCUGGCGGGCAUGCCUGUUCGAGCGUCAUUUCAACCCUCGAGCCCCCCCGGGGGCCUCGGUGUUGGGGGACGGCACACCAGCCGCCCCCGAAAUGCAGUGGCGACCCCGCCGCAGCCUCCCCUGCGUAGUAGCACACACCUCGCACCGGAGCGCGGAGGCGGUCACGCCGUAAAACGCCCAACUUUCUUAGAGUUGACCUCGGAUCAGGUAGGAAUACCCGCUGAACUUAAGCAUAUCAAUAAGCGGAGGA